rnacentral:rRNA from 1 species
UACGAAGGGAGCUAGCGUUGUUCGGAAUCACUGGGCGUAAAGCGCACGUAGGCGGAUUUGUCAGUCAGGGGUGAAAUCCCGGGGCUCAACCUCGGAACUGCCUUUGAUACAGCAAGUCUUGAGUUCGAGAGAGGUGGGUGGAAUUCCUAGUGUAGAGGUGAAAUUCGUAGAUAUUAGGAAGAACACCGGUGGCGAGGGCGGCCCACUGGCUCGAUACUGACGCUGAGGUGCGAAAGCGUGGGGAGCAAACAGG